rnacentral:rRNA from 1 species
UACGUAGGGCGCAAGCGUUGUCCGGAAUUAUUGGGCGUAAAGAGCUCGUAGGCGGUUCGGUAAGUCGGGUGUGAAAACUCUGGGCUCAACCCAGAGCCGCCACCCGAUACUGCUGUGACUUGAGUUCGGUAGGGGAGCGGGGAAUUCCUGGUGUAGCGGUGAAAUGCGCAGAUAUCAGGAGGAACACCAGUGGCGAAGGCGGCUACCUGGACCAGCACUGACACUGAAGCACGAAAGCGUGGGGAGCAAACAGG